UACGUAGGGUGCGAGCGUUGUCCGGAAUUAUUGGGCGUAAAGGGCUCGUAGGCGGUCUGUCGCGUCUGCUGUGAAAUCCCGAGGCUCAACCUCGGGCCUGCAGUGGGUACGGGCAGACUAGAGUGCGGUAGGGGAGAUUGGAAUUCCUGGUGUAGCGGUGGAAUGCGCAGAUAUCAGGAGGAACACCGAUGGCGAAGGCAGAUCUCUGGGCCGUAACUGACGCUGAGGAGCGAAAGCGUGGGGAGCGAACAGG
rnacentral:rRNA from 1 species